rnacentral:rRNA from 1 species
GAAUCUUGGAAAUGCGCGAAAGCGUGAUCUAGCAACGCCGCGUGAGCGAUGAAGGCCUUCGGGUUGUAAAGCUCUUUUGCAGGGGAAGAUUAUGACGGUACCCUGCGAAUAAGCCACGGCUAACUACGUGCCAGCAGCCGCGGUAAUACGUAGGUGGCAAGCGUUGUCCGGAUUUACUGGGCGUAAAGGGCGUGCAGGCGGUUCGUUAAGUCUAGGGUGAAAGCUCCCGGCUCAACUGGGAGAGGUCCUUGGAUACUGGCGGACUUGAGGGGAGUAGAGGAGAGUGGAAUUCUCGGUGUAGUGGUGAUAUGCGUAGAUAUCGAGAGGAACACCAGUGGCGAAGGCGGCUCUCUGGGCUCUACCUGACGCUGAGACGCGAAAGCGUGGGGAGCGAACCGG